UAACAAAGUUCUGAUCCACCCU
rnacentral:siRNA from 1 species